UUGGAGGGCAAGUCUGGUGCCAGCAGCCGCGGUAAUUCCAGCUCCAAUAGCGUAUAUUAAAGUUGUUGCAGUUAAAAAGCUCGUAGUUGAAUUUCGGGGUCAGUAGGCUGGUCGUGCCACAGGUAUGUACUGGUCUUACUGAUUCCUCCUUCCUGAUGAACCGUAAUGCCAUUAAUUUGGUGUUGCGGGGAAUCUGGACUGUUACUUUGAAAAAAUUAGAGUGUCUAAAGCAGGCUAACGCUUGAAUACAUUAGCAUGGAAUAAUGAAAUAGGACGAUCGAUCCUAUUUUGUUGGUUUCUAGGAUUGACGUAAUGAUUAAUAGGGAUAGUUGGGGGCAUUAGUAUUCAAUUGUCAGAGGUGAAAUUCUUGGAUUUAUUGAAGACUAACUACUGCGAAAGCAUUUGCCAAGGAUGUUUUCAUUAAUCAAGAACGAAAGUUAGGGGAUCGAAGACGAUCAGAUACCGUCGUAGUCUUAACCAUAAACUAUGCCGACUAGGGAUCGGAUGAUGUUAAUUUUUUAAUGACUCAUUCGGCGCCUUACGGGAAA
rnacentral:rRNA from 1 species